rnacentral:lncRNA from 1 species
AGAGGAUUAAUAUUCAACAGCAUAGUGAAUUGCUCAAAGGCAAACAAAAUAUUUUAAGUUCAUUAGACCACAUUCAUUCUGUGUCCGAAACCUAUGCUGUGUCAAAUAUUUAAUCACAAUCCAAAUUUAGAGCUGAAUCCAGCUUGAAUGUUGUGUCCAUACUUGCCCCAACCGUUCAGGGUUCAACCUCUGUGGUCGUAUAAAGCUGCGCCCUGCGGAGCAUCUGGUUUCAU